rnacentral:rRNA from 1 species
UACGAAGGGUGCAAGCGUUACUCGGAAUUACUGGGCGUAAAGCGUGCGUAGGUGGUUCGUUAAGUCCGAUGUGAAAGCCCUGGGCUCAACCUGGGAAUGGCAUUGGAUACUGGCGGGCUAGAGUGCGGUAGAGGAUGGCGGAAUUCCCGGUGUAGCAGUGAAAUGCGUAGGGAUCGGGAGGAACAUCCGUGGCGAAGGCGGCCAUCUGGACCAGCACUGACACUGAGGCACGAAAGCGUGGGGAGCAAACAGG